rnacentral:rRNA from 1 species
AUUGAACGCUGGCGGCAGGCUUAACACAUGCAAGUCGAGCGGAGAUGAGGUGCUUGCACCUUAUCUUAGCGGCGGACGGGUGAGUAAUGCUUAGGAAUCUGCCUAUUAGUGGGGGACAACAUUCCGAAAGGAAUGCUAAUACCGCAUACGUCCUACGGGAGAAAGCAGGGGAUCUUCGGACCUUGCGCUAAUAGAUGAGCCUAAGUCGGAUUAGCUAGUUGGUGGGGUAAAGGCCUACCAAGGCGACGAUCUGUAGCGGGUUUGAGAGGAUGGUCCGGCACCCUGGGACUGAGACACGGCCAAGACUCCUACGGGAGGCAGCAGUGGGGAAUAUUGGACAAUGGGGGAAACCCUGAUCCAGCCAUGCCGCGUGUGUGAAGAAGGCCUUAUGGUUGUAAAGCACUUUAAGCGAGGAGGAGGCUACUGAGACUAAUACUCUUGGAUAGUGGACGUUACUCGCAGAAUAAGCACCGGCUAACUCUGUGCCAGCAGCCGCAGUAA